rnacentral:rRNA from 1 species
UAGCCGUAAACGAUACUCGCUAGGUGUCGGCCACGGUGCGACCGUUGUCGGUGCCGUAGGGAAGCCGUGAAGCGAGCCACCUGGGAAGUACGGCCGCAAGGCUGAAACUUAAAGGAAUUGGCGGGGGAGCACCACAACGGGUGGAGCUUGCGGUUUAAUUGGAUUCAACGCCGGAAAUCUUACCGGGACCGACAGCAACAUGAAGGCCAGGCUGAAGACUUUGCGGACUUAAGCUGAGAGGAGGUGCAUGGCGGUCAGUGACU